AUGCCAAGCGUGACAUGCCAGGACUCCAUCCUCAACGGUUUGUGUUCCCUGAGCACAGCGGCCCCUACAUAUGCCAGGAAGAUGCCUCAGGCGCCCAAGGCAAUCUGGCUGAGUGAAGUUCCUGUUGGCACAUUCCUGGGUGAAGACCAGUGUGUUCCCCGCGCAACCUUUGUGGGAUGUGUGACUGCCAUGCUGGCGAGGCUCCUCUGUGUUGGGGACGCGGUGGAAGUUCACGCGGGCAAUGCCGAGUCCACCUUCCUGGAACAGUGGUCUUCGCCCUGCCGUGAGGCUACCUCGGGCACCUGACCCUGGUUGGCACCAGCAGAUUGGCUCGUCCCAGCCUCCUGCAGAUGCUCCCUGAAGCCAUGUCGCUGACCACUUGAGCUGAACCACCCCCCCGGGCACCCCCCCCAUCUUCCUGGACUGCAUUGCCUGGAACGGACACCGUUUGAAGCCAGUCUCCCGGCUCAGGUUUCCCUGAGCACCAGCUUCGUGCCAGAGACUCGCACAUACCCUCCUCUAAUCCUGACAACCACUCUGCCAGGGAGACAUUGGUCGGCUCACUUUACAGCGUCGGAGCUGAAGCUCACACUGGCAUAUGGACUUGCUCAAGGUCACAUGGCCUCUGGGAUCAGAGACCAGCUCAGCUGGCCCAGUCUCCCACCACGCUGCACCGCACACAGGCCCCCCGGCCAGCACAAGGAGAGAGAGGAUGCGUGCCGGUGGGAGUGGUUGGACUGACAGCCCAGAAAACGCUGCCAGAGCCACGCUUGGAUUUGUGGCUCCUUUCUGUCCUUUCUGCUUUUUAAAAUCCGUAUCCAGGGGCCCGCAGUCCUCCCCCCCUGAGAAUCUGCGCAACUGGGAAGUUUUUCUGCUGCCGGCUCUCGGUUUCCAUGGCUAAAAUGGAAGUGAUAAAAAUAACAGCAGGACUCUGAAAAGUGUGGAGCAUCGAUCUCCCGAAAAUAUUUACUGCUUCGGAAAGUCUCUUAACUGAAGGGCUUUUUACGCUAAUGAUAUUAGAAGGCACAAAAGCCCAAGAAACCCUCAGAAGUGAAUUGUAGGAGAGGAAGACAGUGACGGAGUUCGACCAGAGCUUCCCUGAGCCUCUCCUUAUGGGAGAAAGCCCUGGAUUACACAGAUUUCAUCCCUGUAAACUUUGGUGAGUGAGUGAUAAGUCCUUCACCCGCUCAGAUUCCGUAUUGGAAGCAUUGCAUCAUGGAGGCAAGAGCUCAUUGGUUGCCCGGCCUCUGAGCUCCAACCCCAAGCUGCUGGCGUGUGCAAAAACACCUUUUCGUUGGUUUAUCCA
rnacentral:lncRNA from 1 species